rnacentral:rRNA from 1 species
UACGGAGGGUGCUAGCGUUGUUCGGAAUUACCGGGCGUAAAGGGCGCGUAGGCGGCCGUUUGCGUCGGAUGUGAAAGCCCGGGGCUCAACUCCGGAAUUGCCUUUAAGACUGCAUCGCUAGAAUUGUGGAGAGGUAAGUGGAAUUCCGAGUGUAGAGGUGAAAUUCGUAGAUAUUCGGAAGAACACCAGUGGCGAAGGCGACUUACUGGACACAUAUUGACGCUGAGGUGCGAAAGCGUGGGGAGCAAACAGG